rnacentral:misc_RNA from 1 species
UGGUUCUGGCAUNGAUGAAGAACGCAGCGAAAUGCGAUAAGUAAUGUGAAUUGCAUAAUUAGUGAAUCAUCGAAUCUUUGAACGCACAUUGCGCCCCUUGGCAAUCCGAGAGGCAUGUCUGUUCGAGCGCCGAAUCGUUAUUAUAGCAUAGCUUUGUGUUGACAUUAUACAAAAUAGUGUUUAAAUACUUUGGCGUUGUAAACUCUGUAUCACUACGUAAAGUGUGAAGACAUUUCUACAAUUGCCCAUGUUUCAUGCUUGGCCUCGAAUCAGACAAGAAUACCCGCUGA